rnacentral:rRNA from 1 species
UACAGAGGGGGCAAGCGUUGUUCGGAAUCACUGGGCGUAAAGGGUGCGUAGGUGGCGCUGUAAGUCAGGUGUGAAAUUUCGGAGCUCAACUCCGAAACUGCAUUUGAUACUGCGGUGCUUGAGGACUGGAGAGGAGACUGGAAUUCACGGUGUAGCAGUGAAAUGCGUAGAUAUCGUGAGGAAGACCAGUGGCGAAGGCGGGUCUCUGGACAGUUCCUGACACUGAGGCACGAAGGCCAGGGGAGCAAACGGG